UGUGUGUGGGUAAAAAGUUAUUGAAUGUACGUAUAGCCACCGAGAAUGUCGGACAAAUUUCUUGCACGGUUUCGGUAUUGGACAUAUUUUUUUCCUUGAAUAAAGUUUAUUUGGGGUUUUUUUUAACCAUUGAAUUCUCUAACUUUAAAUAACUUUUACUAACACUUCCCCCUCUCCCUCCCCCCUUCCUUGUCAUUUUCCCAGUUCCUCGGCUCUCCACAUUAUUUGUUUAUAGUUCACGCCUUCCCAAUCCAACAAUGGACCUUCCAGACGCCAAUCAUUAAUGGCUGGUCCUAAUUGAUCCUGGGCUUUUAUCACCUCCAGUUCUUCACCCCCCCCCCCCCCCCCACCACCCCACCCGCAACAUUCAGUUUGAAGAAAGGCCCCGGUCGGAAAAGCCCCGCAGAUUUUUUCUUCGGAGAAGCCGCCUGACCCACGGUGUUACUCCAACACUUUGUGUCUUAUCUUUUGUAUAAACCAGCAUCUGCAGUCCGGGGGGGAUUGGGAGCAACAACAA